GAUGAACGCUAGCGGCAGGCCUAACACAUGCAAGUCGAGGGGUCGAAGGAGCUUGCUCCUUUGAGACCGUCGCACGGGUGCGUAACGCGUAUGCAAUCUACCUUGUACAGGGGAAUAGCGCAGAGAAAUUGGGAUUAAUGCCCCAUAGUAUAUAAACUUCGAAUGGUGGUUAUAUUAAAGUUCCAACGGUACAAGUUGAGCAUGCGUCCGAUUAGUUAGUUGGUAAGGUAACAGCUUACCAAGACGAUGAUGGGUAGGGGUCCUGAGAGGGAGAUCCCCCAGACUGGAACUGCGGCACGGACCAGUAUCCUACGGAGGGCAGCAGUGAGUAAUAUUAGGCAAUGAUCGCAAAACGGACCCAGCCAUGCCGGGUGCAGGAAGACGGUCCUCGGGAUUCUCUACUGCUUGUAUACAAGAAGAAACCCACCCACGUGUGGGAGCUUGACGGUACUGUAGGAAUAAGGAUCGGCUAACUCCGUG
rnacentral:rRNA from 1 species